GUGCCUGUAGCUCAGCUGGAUAGAGCGACGGCCUCCGGAGCCGUAGGUCGCAGGUUCGAAUCCUGUCAGGCACG
rnacentral:tRNA from 1 species